GUUCACUAUCUCCUAAUACAGUUAAAGCCCUUAUUUGUACCCAAAAUUGGUUGAAGGAUGCAAAGAGAAAAAGACCACUAAAGCUUCGGGAGUGCAUGGAUAAUGUGGAGGAUAUGGAUGGUUUUGAGAUUGACACUGAAAUUGCAUCGGUUUGCCCAAUGCCUAUGGAGGAGGAUCCAAGCACCGUUGUGUUGGAUGAUGAUGAGUGAUGUGCUACUCUUUGCUUGGAGUUAAUUAGUAAUUAGUAUUAUUAUUUUGUAGGAGUUCUAGAAUGAUGCAUAGUGUAGACUUACUGGACAAAGGGCUUACGAGAAUUAGCAUU